CAGCAGCCGCGGGAAUACGUAGGUGGCAAGCGUUGUCCGGAAUUAUUGGGCGUAAAGGGCUCGCAGGCGGUUUCUUAGGUCUGAUGUGAAAGCCCCCGGCUCAACCGGGGAGGGUCAUUGGAAACUGGGAAACUUGAGUGCAGAAGAGGAGAGUGGAAUUCCACGUGUAGCGGUGAAAUGCGUAGAGAUGUGGAGGAACACCAGUGGCGAAGGCGACUCUCUGGUCUGUAACUGACGCUGAGGAGCGAAAGCGUGGGGAGCGAACAGGAUUAGAUACCCCCGUAGUCCCUGUCUCUUAUAC
rnacentral:rRNA from 1 species